rnacentral:rRNA from 1 species
AAUAGAUACCCCGGGUAGUCCACGCCCUAAACGAUGUCUACUAGUUGUCGGGGAUUAAUUUCCUUGGUAACGCAGCUAACGCGUGAAGUAGACCGCCUGGGGAGUACGGUCGCAAGAUUAAAACUCAAAGGAAUUGACGGGGGACCCCGCACAAGCGGUGGAUGAUGUGGAUUAAUUCGAUGCAACGCGAAAAAACCUUACCUACCCUUGACAUGUACGGAACCCUGCUGAGAGGUGGGGGUGCUCGAAAGAGAGCCGUAACACAGGUGCUGCAUGGCUGUCGUCAGCUCGUGUCGUGAGAUGUUGGGUUAAGUCCCGCAACGAGCGCAACCCUUGUCAUUAGUUGCUACGAAAGGGCACUCUAAUGAGACUGCCGGUGACAAACCGGAGGAAGGUGGGGAUGACGUCAAGUCCUCAUGGCCCGUUAUGGGGUAGGGCUUCACACGUCAUACAAUGGUACAUACAGAGGGCCGCCAACCCGGCGAGGGGGAGCUAAUCCCAGAAAGUGUAUCGUAGUCCGGAUUGUAGUCUGCAACGUCGACUACAUGAAGGUU